rnacentral:rRNA from 1 species
ACGGGAGGCAGCAGUGGGGAAUAUUGCACAAUGGGCGCAAGCCUGAUGCAGCAACGCCGCGUGAAGGAAGAAGGUCUUUGGAUCGUAAACUUCUGUCCUUAGGGAAGAUAAUGACGGUACCUUUGGAGGAAGCCCCGGCUAACUACGUGCCAGCAGCCGCGGUAAUACGUAGGGGGCGAGCGUUAUCCGGAAUUAUUGGGCGUAAAGAGUGCGUAGGCGGUUUUUUAAGCGUGGGGUGAAAGGCUAUAGCUUAACUAUAGUUAGCCCCGCGAACUGGGAGACUUGAGUGCAGGAGAGGAAAGCGGAAUUCCUAGUGUAGCGGUGAAAUGCGUAGAUAUUAGGAGGAACACCAGUGGCGAAGGCGGCUUUCUGGACUGUAACUGACGCUGAGGCACGAAAGCGUGGGGAGCAAACAGGAUUAGAUACCCUGGUA